UGGAUGUAAAGAGCUGUAGUACACCUUUGGACUAGCACUUCAUGAGCAAGUUCUUUUUCACCAUUUGGAUCGUGUUUGCGCAGGAAAUAACUGAGUGCUGCAUGGCAAGCCCUUUAAACAUUUAAUAGAUUUCACUUGACCAUCUAAGAUUUAAUUGUAGACAUCUAUAAUUAAAUCAGUGUUUUGACCAAAGGCAUUGUCGGUGUCUUGCCGCAGACUGUCAGAUCACCUGCUAGGCAUCAAACGCACCUCGAAGGUCAGAGGGUAGCAUGGCGGAGUGUUUCUGUCCGAGUUGGACCAGUUCUGUGAAGGAUUUACUCUCCGAUGAGGACACAGUGCACUGCUUUACUUCAACAAGGUGAGCCAGGUUCUUAAAUUGGAUAUACCUCUGUUCUUCUACAUCUGGAUCAUCCAUCUGAAGUUCCUUCCUCAUGGUGCCCUCUAUUUCUGCUGCCAGAGAGUCCUGGAGAAGAAGCAAAAAAACAAAACAAAGUUUAAGGUUUGUACCAUCUUGGCCUUCUUCUGGAGAUCUACAAUCUGGGAGAGGAGGUGUGUGAUCUCCUCCUGCUGUCUGGAGGCGUCUUCAGUCCUCCUAGCCAGCUCUUCAGCCAGAGAGGAAAUCUGCACGUUGGCAUCACCUGGAAAACAUCGACAGGUGUUCAUCAAAAGUGAGAAUCUGCAAAGAAAACAGUCUCUCGAAACAAAUAAAACAUUGAGCAUAAUAUGACUUCUCUAA